GGUUCGAUUCCGGAGAGGGAGCCUGAGAAACGGCUACCACAUCUAAGGAAGGCAGCAGGCGCGCAAAUUACCCAAUUCUAACAGCAUAAGAGAGGUAGUGACAAGAAAUAACAGUACAAGGCAGUUAAAAUGCUUUGUAAUUGGAAUGAUAGAAAUUUAAACACUUUUUAAAGUAUCAAUUGGAGGGCAAGUCUGGUGCCAGCAGCCGCGGUAAUUCCAGCUCCAAUAGCGUAUAUUAAAAUUGUUGCAGUUAAAAAGCUCGUAGUUGAAUUUCUGCUAAAAAUAACCGGUUUGCUUUUAUUAAUAAAAGUGGUAUCUUGGUGUGUUUUUAGCAAUAAUGUCCUUUGAAAUGUUUUUUACUUUAUUGUAAGAAGCAAUAUUCAGGAUUUUUACUUUGAGAAAAUUAGAGUGUUUCAAGCAGGCUAACGUUUUGAAUACUGCAGCAUGGAAUAAUAAAAUAGGAUUUUGGUUCUACAUUAUUGGUUUUAAGAA
rnacentral:rRNA from 1 species